rnacentral:lncRNA from 1 species
GUCAGGUGAGACACAGAGGAGGCCACUUAAUGAAGCACACGAAACAACAGAAGCUGUGGAUGUCUUACCGGUCAGAAUGAAGAGGGCAGCACGUCUUUCAGGGCCAAGGGGAAGAAGGGGGCUGCCCUUGCCUGAUGGAUGGGGAGCAGGAGAGGGAGAGGCCUGUAGGCUGAAGCUUUUUUGUUUGUUUGUUUGUUUUUUUUGAGACGGAGUCUCAUACUCUGGCCCAGGCUGGAAUGCAGUGGAGCGAUCUCGGCUCACUGCAAGCUCCGCCUCUCGGGUUCACGCCAUUCUCCUGCCUCAGUUUCCCGAGUAGCUGGGACUACAGGCGCCCGCCACCAUGCCUGGCUAAUUUUUUGUGUUUUUAGUAGAGACGGGGUUUCACCGUGUUAGCAGGAUGGUCUGGAUCUCCUGACCUCGUGAUCCGCCUGCCUCGGCCUCCUAAAGUGCUGGGGUUACAGGCGUGAGCCACCGCGCCCGGGUGGCUGAAGCUUUUAUUGCGGUUCAGGGUAUUACCCAAGCAGGUUUUCCACAGGGAGUUCUAAUUGCCUGGUGUACAGCAAGUGACCACGAGCUCUGUGGAGUCACUGCAGCAAAUCUUCCCAGUCCGUGCAGGAUGCGGGGGUCAGUGGGAGAGUCAAGCAGGCUGUGUCCAGCUGUCCCGGAGGGAGGUGGCCCCUGGGAGCCGAAGGGAGAAAGGAGAUAACUGGAUUGACCACACUGAAGACCUGGGAGGAGGCAGAGAGCUGGAAACUGUGUCAAGGGUGAUUAAGCCCUGCUUCUGGUACAAGAAAGUUAAACCUAGAUUUAAAAUGGAUGCCGAGGAAACAUCAAAUGUAUUUAAUGAAUGCCCACCAUUGAUGAGGCACUAUGCUAGAUGCAGAGGACACAGUAGUGAACAAGAUGUGUUUUCUAUUCUCCGGGGACUGACAGUACACAGAUGUAGACAGGCAAGUAAAUAGUAGGGCAUAAUGUGAUCGGAGUUGAGAUGCCAUAGGAGUGCCCCCUAUCUGAUUGAGAAGUCAGGUAAGCCUUUCCAGGGCUGAUGUCGCCACUGACUCCUAAAGAAUGAUCAAGAACCAGUAAAGUCACGUGCGGUCUAACGAGGCAUCCCAAGCAGCAGGAACAACAGCAUGUGCAAAGUCCCAGAGGCAAGAACGACAGUGGACACUGCAAUCCUACCAUCUAAUCUCCUCGAAUCCUUGAUGCACUAAGAAAGAGUGAAAAUAAAUUAAACAACUUUCCCCCACUACAUCUUUGGUUCUUUUUGAGUUUUUCUCUGUUUCUCAGAAGCCGCAGGUGGAGCCCAGAAUGAU